rnacentral:rRNA from 1 species
CGGAAAGACCCCGUGAACCUUUACUAUAGCUUGACACUGAACAUUGAGCCUUGAUGUGUAGGAUAGGUGGGAGGCUUAGAAGUGUGGACGCCAGUCUGCAUGGAGCCGACCUUGAAAUACCACCCUUUAAUGUUUGAUGUUCUAACGUUGACCCGUAAUCCGGGUUGCGGACAGUGUCUGGUGGGUAGUUUGACUGGGGCGGUCUCCUCCUAAAGAGUAACGGAGG